ACCCAGGUGGUGGAAUUGGUAGACACGCUAGGUUGAGGGCCUAGUGCCUAUUGUUGGCGUGCGGGUUCAAGUCCCGCUCUGGGUA
rnacentral:tRNA from 1 species